UCGGUUGCAUUAAGGACAGCUGGCCUCUCAAUGCUGAUCGGCAGCCUUUAGGACUCCAUUUCUGUGGCUCUGCUGUUUCAGUUCUCGAAUGCCAGGCCAUCCGUAGUCACGGAACAAUGGAAAGCUGGAAUAUGGCGAGCUGGCUCUUCUCUACUCCGAUGUGUCAUUUCUAACAGCUCAGCACUGGUCACAUGACUUCACCCAACUACUUGAAAAACCUGAUUUUCCAGCCUUAUAAUUCAAAAGCAACAUGAUGACAAGUACUGACAGAGCUGUUCAAAGCACCCCGUGGAAGACUGCGCUCCGGGACCGGUCCCUCCACCUGCCAGCCAGAUGGCUCCACGGCGGGAUCUUCCACCAGGUGACGAGCACCUGACAGUGACCUUGGGCAUGUUCCCAUGUCACCCAGCACAGCUGGAAGGUUUGGGAUAAAGUUAUCUUGAGGGAUUCUUCCUGGCUGACAAACAAAGAUAACCAAUGAAAUCAUCAAGUCAUUUUCUUUGCUAAACGUAGGGGCCAGGCAUUUCUUUUCUGAGAACUGAGCAAUGUUUGUGUCCUUUAUCCCCCCCCCCCAUCAGUGCCACCCACCUCUCUUCCUAACGCCAUUGGCAUCUGUCUCUACUAGUCCUCACCAAGACGGUGCUGGCCCUGACAAAGGCGUGGCCCUCUGAGGAAUUCUCUCAUUAAAUUAUUUAUCUGCA